rnacentral:rRNA from 1 species
UACGAAGGGAGCUAGCGUUGUUCGGAAUUACUGGGCGUAAAGAGCGCGUAGGCGGUUUGUAAAGUUGGGAGUGAAAGCCCAAGGCUUAACCUUGGAAAUGCUCUCAAAACUCACAAACUAGAGAUUGGUAGAGGAUGGUGGAAUUCCUAGAGUAGAGGUGAAAUUCGUAGAUAUUAGGAGGAACACCGGUGGCGAAGGCGACCAUCUGGGCCAAUACUGACGCUGAGGCGCGAAAGCGUGGGGAGCAAACAGG